rnacentral:misc_RNA from 1 species
GAUCCAACAAAAAUCACACAUUUCAUGCCCUUCAAAAUAUUUAGACCCAACAUGGUUCUAAGUAAAAGAGUUUAUUUUUUAUUUCUUUGCUUAAUUGGGUUUAUCUCCCCACCAGUCCAAGCUGCUGUUAAGCAAUACCAAUUUGAUAUUCAAGUGAAAAAUGUUAGCAGAUUAUGUCAUGCCAAGCCCAUUGUGACAGUAAAUGGGAGGUUUCCAGGGCCAACAAUUUAUGUCAGAGAAGGAGAUAGAGUUCUUGUGAAUGUGACCAACCAUGCCCAAUAUAACAUGUCUAUUCAUUGGCAUGGACUCAAGCAGUUUCGUAAUGGCUGGGCAGAUGGACCUGCUUAUAUAACACAAUGUCCGAUCAAGACAGGCCGAAGUUACACCUAUGAUUUUAAUGUAACAGGCCAAAGAGGAACACUAUGGUGGCAUGCACAUAUUCUUUGGCUAAGGGCUACUGUUCAUGGUGCUAUAGUUAUAAUGCCCAAACCAGGGACCCCAUUUCCUUUCCCUCAGCCUCACAUGGAAGAGGUCGUCAUUUUUGGGGAAUGGUGGAACAAUGAUGUGGAAGAGAUUGUUAAACAAGGGAACAAGCUGGGAUUGCCACCAAAUGCAUCUGAUGCACAUACAAUUAAUGGGAAACCAGGGCCACUCUUCCCAUGUUCUGAGAAAUGUGAGUAAAUUUUCGAUAUAUUGCAAGGGUGUUUGGUUCAGGUUUUGGGAUCAGCUGUUAGCUAUUGAAUCCUAACAGUAGUUUUGAUCAAAUGUGUUCAGUUAGAACCUCCAACAGCUCCCGAUUCCACAAGCUCCAUUUCCUAACAUCAUUAGGAUAACCUUUCGCCCUAUGUAUAUUCCUAUAUGGCACCAUUUUGAACUCAUCAAUGCGUGUCAAUACUAUAUGCUUGCUUUCUCAUUUUCCACCUUUUCUUGCAGAUACAUUUGCCAUGGACGUUGAGCAGGGAAAGACAUACCUCUUGAGGAUCAUCAAUGCUGCACUCAACGAUGAGCUUUUCUUCAGUAUAGCAAACCACACACUCACAGUUGUUGAAGUUGAUGCUAUUUAUGUUAAACCUUUUGAAACUGAGAUUUUGCUGAUUACUCCAGGACAAACCACUAAUGUUCUUCUUAAGACCAAACCCCAAUUCCCUAACGCCACAUUUUUCAUGACUGCUAGACCUUAUGUGACUGGGCUAGGCACUUUUGACAAUUCUACUGUGGCAGGUAUUUUAGAAUAUGAAGCAUCCCCAAAAACAAUCCAUUCAAGCCUUUCUAUUAAAAAGUUUCCACCCUAUAAACCAGCUCUGCCUCCUCUCAAUGACACUGCCUAUGCCACUAACUUCACAAAUAAACUCCGUAGCUUGGCAAGUGCAGAAUUCCCUGCCAAUGUGCCUCAGAAAGUUGAUAGGCAAUUUUUCUUCACAGUAGGCUUAGGGACAAAUCCUUGCCCAAAGAACAAAACCUGCCAGGGACCAAAUGGAACCAUGUUUGCUGCUUCAGUUAAUAAUGUAUCUUUUGCAAUGCCAACCACAGCUCUACUCCAAUCGCACUUUUUUGGUCAAUCAAAGGGUGUUUAUACUCCUGAUUUUCCAAUUAGUCCAAUAAUACCCUUUAACUACACUGGUAACCCACCAAAUAAUACAAUGGUCAACAAUGGCACCAAGCUAGUAGUUCUUCCUUUUAACACUAGUGUGGAGCUAAUUAUGCAGGACACUAGCAUUCUUGGUGCUGAGAGUCACCCUUUGCACUUGCAUGGAUUCAAUUUCUUUGUUGUUGGUCAAGGUUUUGGGAAUUUUGAUCCAAAUAAAGACCCUGCAAAGUUCAAUCUUGUUGAUCCUGUUGAGAGGAACACUGCAGGUGUCCCCUCUGGUGGGUGGGUUGCAAUAAGGUUCCUUGCAGAUAACCCAGGGGUAUGGUUCAUGCAUUGCCAUCUGGAA